AAAACAAUUAUAGCGCCAGAACUAAGGAAAUCGAGCGGACAUAAUCCUUAGUUGACGAGGUGGAGGUUUAUCGAAAUUUCGGCGGAUGCCUCCCGAUCGCACAUGCCCGGUUGUAACUUUCGUUUUAAAACAGAGAAGCGAUUUUCUGGACAGAAAAACGAAACGGCAUACAA
rnacentral:ncRNA from 2 species